GACGAACGCUGGCGGCGUGCUUAACACAUGCAAGUCGAACGGAAAGGCCCUGCUUUUGUGGGGUGCUCUAGUGGCGAACGGGUGAGUAACACGUUAGUAACCUUCCCUUUACUUUGGGAUAACUUCAGGAAACUGGGGCUAAUACCGGAUAGGAGCUCCUGCUGCAUGGUGUGGGUUGUAAAGUUUCGUCGGUUGGUGAUGGACUCGCGGCUUAUCAGCUUGUUGGUUGGGUAGUGACUUACCAAGGCUUUGACGGGUAGCCGACAUGAGAGGCUGACCGGCGACAAUGGGACUGAGAGACGGACCAGAAUCGUAAGGGAGGCAGCAGUGGGGAAUAUUGCAGAAUGGGCGGAAGCGUGAGGCAGCAACGCCGCGUGCGGGAUGAAGGCCUUCGGGGUGUAAACAGCUGUCGCAGGAGACGAAGAGAGAGUGACGGUAAUGGGUAAAGAAGCAACGGCUAACUACGUG
rnacentral:rRNA from 1 species